CACGAUGAAUUUAAGCAUAUUAGCGGAGGAAAAAAAACUAACCAGGAUUCCCUCAGUAACAGUGAGUGAACAGGGA
rnacentral:ncRNA from 1 species